rnacentral:rRNA from 1 species
ACGAUGAAGAGUUUGAUCCUGGCUCAGGAUGAACGCUAGCGGCAGGCCUAACACAUGCAAGUCGAACGGUAACAGCAGAGCUUGCUCUGGCUGACGAGUGGCGCACGGGUGCGUAACGCGUAUACAAUCUACCUAUUACUGGGGUAUAGCCCGAAGAAAUUUGGAUUAAUCCCCCAUAGUAUUAUAGAGUGGCAUCAUUUUAUAAUUAAAACUACGGUGGUAAUAGAUGAGUAUGCGUCCUAUUAGUUAGUUGGUAAGGUAACGGCUUACCAAGGCAUCGAUAGGUAGGGGUCCUGAGAGGGAGAUCCCCCACACUGGUACUGAGACACGGACCAGACUCCUACGGGAGGCAGCAGUGAGGAAUAUUGGACAAUGGAGGCAACUCUGAUCCAGCCAUGCCGCGUGCAGGAAGACUGCCCUAUGGGUUGUAAACUGCUUUUAUAGAGGAAGAAACCUUCUUACGUGUAAGAAGCUGACGGUACUCUACGAAUAAGGAUCGGCUAACUCCGUGCCAGCAGCCGCGGUAAUACGGAGGAUCCAAGCGUUAUCCGGAAUCAUUGGGUUUAAAGGGUCCGUAGGCGGGCAGUUAAGUCAGUGGUGAAAGUCUUCCGCUCAACGGGAGAAUUGCCAUUGAUACUGAUUGUCUUGAGUCAUUAUGAAGUGGUUAGAAUGAGUAGUGUAGCGGUGAAAUGCAUAGAUAUUACUCAGAAUACCGAUUGCGAAGGCAGAUCACUAAUAAUGUACUGACGCUGAUGGACGAAAGCGUAGGUAGCGAACAGGAUUAGAUACCCUGGUAGUCUACGCCGUAAACGAUGGUUACUAGCUGUUUGGACGAUUGAGUCUGAGUGGCUAAGCGAAAGUGAUAAGUAUCCCACCUGGGGAGUACGUUCGCAAGAAUGAAACUCAAAGGAAUUGACGGGGGCCCGCACAAGCGGUGGA